UAUCAGGUAAUACCGCAUGAGCCGAGAGGUAAAAGCUUCUAUUGGAGCGCCAUGGGAUGAGCUUGCGUCUGAUUAGCUAGUGGUGGGGUAAAUGCUUACCAAGGCGACGAUCAGUAGCCGGCCUGAGAGGGUGAACGGCCACAUUGGGACUGAGACACGGCCCAGACUCCUACGGGAGGCAGCAGCUAAGAAUCUUCCGCAAUGGGAGCAAUCCUGACGGAGCGAUGCCGCGUGGACGAAGAAGGCAGAAAUGUUGUAAAAGUCCUUUUAUAUGGGAAGAAUAAAGCAUAUAGUGGAAAGAUAUGAAGAUGACGGUACCAUAUGAAUAAGCUACGGCUAACUACGUGCCAGCAGCCGCGGUAAUACGUAGGUAGCGAACGUUGUUCGGAAUUAUUGGGCGUAAAGGGCAUGUAGGCGGUUUAAUAAGUGUGGAUUUAAAUACCGGAGCUUAACUCCGCGUAUGGUCUGCAAACUGUUGAACUAGAGUACAGAAG
rnacentral:rRNA from 1 species